rnacentral:rRNA from 1 species
CCUACGGGAGGCUGCAGUGAGGAAUAUUGGUCAAUGGACGAGAGUCUGAACCAGCCAAGUAGCGUGAAGGAUGACUGCCCUAUGGGUUGUAAACUUCUUUUAUAUGGGAAUAAAACGUUCCACGUGUGGGAUUUUGUAUGUACCAUAUGAAUAAGGAUCGGCUAACUCCGUGCCAGCAGCCGCGGUAAUACGGAGGAUCCGCGCGUUAUCCGGAUUUAUUGGGUUUAAAGGGAGCGUAGGUUGAUUGUUAAGUCAGUUGUGAAAGUUUGCGGCUUAACCGUAAAAUUGCAGUUGAAACUGGCAGUCUUGAGUACAGUAGAGGUGGGCGGAAUUCGUGGUGUAGCGGUGAAAUGCUUAGAUAUCACGAAGAACUCCGAUUGCGAAGGCAGUUCACUGGACUGCAACUGACACUGAGGCUCGAAAGUGUGGGUAUCAAACAGGAUUAGAUACCCUAGUAGUC